rnacentral:rRNA from 1 species
UAAACUUUAUUUUUUAUUUUAACUUUUUUCUAGUUUAACAGAAAUGGUGUAAUAAAAGUAAUUUUAGGAACACUUCCUUUUUGUAUAACGGAUACACUAUAAGUUUCUCACUUAAGAUUUCCCGAAAGCAUAAGAUCUAGCCUUGAGCUAAGGAUUUAGCCUACUUUAAUGCUAUGUAGAAUUAUGGUAAGAUAGACUCGAGGCUAGGGGCGAAAAACCUACAAUUUUGCUAAUAUCUGGAUUUAAACUAAAAGUAUAUAGUACUUAAGACAUACAUAUAGCGUUGAGGCUGUAUGUACUUAAAAUGUUAGUUUAUAUUAUUUUUAACUAGGGUUAAAAUCUCUUGUUAAUUGUGAACUUAAUAAUUAAUGUCUUUUUAAUUUUUAUAACGGUUUAAUAUUUCCUCAAAUCUCCAAGGAAAUAGAGAAUGUUUAUAUUAGUAAUAAAUUUUCUUGUUAUUUUAAAUAUAGUGAAAGGAACUCGGCAAACUUUUACCUCAACUGUAUACCAAAAACAUAGCCUUGAGUCUUAUUCAAGGUAAAGCCUGCCCAGUGCUGUUAGCUGUAAACGGCCGCAGUACCCUGACUGUGCUAAGGUAGCAUAAUCAGUUGGCUUUUAAAUGGAGUCGGGAAUGAAUGGAUUUAUGGGGUUAAGCUGUCUCUUAUAUAUUAAAUUAAAUUUACUUAUUAGGUGAAAAUGCCUAAAUAUAGAAAAAAGACGAGAAGACCCUAGGAGUUUUUACUAAAGUUUGUUAAAAACUACGUUUUUGUUGGGGCGACAAGAGAGGAAAUAGAACCUCUUUUAUUUUACAUGCCGACUUAGUAUGAAAGUUUAAACUACCCUAGGGAUAACAGCGUAAUUCUUUUUGAGUUUGCGACCUCGAUGUUGGACUAGGAAUUUAGUGGGCUAGCCGCCUACCUGAAUUGUUCUGUUCGAACUAUUUUUCCU